rnacentral:rRNA from 1 species
GACGGAAGGUGCAAGCGUUGCUCGGAAUCACUGGGCGUAAAGGGUGCGUAGGCGGCCGUGCAAGUCUGGCGUGAAAGCCCCGGGCUCAGCCCGGGAAGUGCGCUCGAAACUGCGCGGCUCGAGUGCCGGAGGGGAGAGUGGAAUUCCGGGUGUAGCGGUGGAAUGCGUAGAGAUCCGGAAGAACACCAGUGGCGAAGGCGGUCUGCUGGGCCGAUAUUGACGCUGAGGCGCGAAAGCCAGGGGAGCAAACGGG